UCCUCGAUAGCUCAGUUGGUAGAGCGCGCGGCUGUUAACCGCGUUGUCGUAGGUUCAAGUCCUACUCGGGGAG
rnacentral:tRNA from 1 species